rnacentral:lncRNA from 1 species
GGCCCUGUAAGUGUGUGUGUGUGUGUGUGUGUGUGUGUGUGUUGUGUGUGUGUGUUUGCGUGUGUGUAAUUGCGGUGGACUGGAUUCUUGUUGAACAAAUAUUCACUCAAUAUUCACUCUCUCUUCCUCCUUAGGAUGGCAUAUACUUAUAUUUACCUGCCUCACUCAUUUUGGGCAUGGCCAUGUAACCGGGUGCACAGAAGCGGGAGUGUACUGAGGCUUUGAAUGUUUGUUUAGCCUCUGGAGCUCCUGCCUACUUCAUGAUGUAAGUACGUCCAGGGUAGCCAUAGUUCCAGGAUGAAGAGACAUGGGGAAAGCAGACCUGACCCAAGCCCAAAUGAGUCCAGCCAACUCACAGACCCAUUACUGAAAAGAAAUAAAUGCCUGUUGUAAGCCACUGAGAUUUUGGGAUUAUUUGUUACACAGCCUUAUCAUGGAAAAGCUGACUAACAAGUGUUCAUGGUAGUCUUUACAGGGAACUAGUCCAAUACUCAGGCCUUUUCACAGAGGGCUUCAGGAUGGAGGCACCUGCUCUGUUGCAUGUCAUUAAGGAAUCAGGUUUUAGUAAAUAGUUCCUCCCCCUUUUAGACUCCGUUCCCUGACCUCUUCCUCAAGUGCAUAUCUCCCCCCCUCUUUAGGACAAUUAACCACAUUCACAAAAUUCCACCUCCUCCUCCUCUACAGGCCACUUCUGCAGGCUCUCAGAACUGUCUGUCUUUGACAAGGGCUAUCCUUGUUGUGGGAGGCCCUCAGCUUUCCGAGGAGGUUGGAAAGAAUGGAGCUCAGAGAAAUGGAGGGGCCCCCGCAAGCUGCAGCAGCAGGAGGCAAAGGAACCAGCAGCAGGGCCCUCUGGAAAGAUCGGAGGAGGCAUGUAGCUGAGUGCUCACACAACGUGAGGAUGUCGCAGCUCCAAACCAGGGUGUUCUCUGUGAUGUCAGUUCUUCCUGAUCUCCUGCCUUGGAAUUCCUUAUCACAACCCAACCCAUGUGACUUUGUGAUACCAGUGAGUAGAGUGGAUGCAGGACCCACUGGACCAUGGCACUUGCACCGGCUAGUGGGAUGAAGGUAAGAGUGGCAGUGUGCCAGUUAUAGGUUGAGGCUUCAGAGGUUUUGUGUUUCCACCGAUCUUCAUGAGGCUUCCUU